GAAGGCGAACACAACAACGCGGCACAGAGCUCAGUGCGCGAGCAAGCGUGAUACGGAAUGUACGUGUGGUGCGUCUUGCGCGGACGUUAACUCUGCGAUUUAUUUUUUUAUCUUUCGAUUUAUACGGCCAGAAUUAAAAACCUUUGGAGUAUACAGUCGAUAAACUGAAAAGAGUUUUUAUCAAAAAAGUUGACUUCGUGACAGUUCGCGCAGAAUUUUGACCAAAAUCUGUGAAUUUCCGUAUAGACGCGAAAAAAGUGAAGGAGACAUUUCGAAACAAAGGACUGUUUUGUACAUUUUCGCAACGUUUGCGAAAUUGUGUUCAAAAAUACUGAUCUGGCUCAAUCGUGGAGGGCAAUUUAAAAAAAACACUGCCCCUGGCCAACUCGUUCAGACACAAUCUGUGGUCACCGAACGAUAAAACAAAAACGCAACGAUUUUACUAGAUUACCACAAGGACUAUAUAUUUAUAAAGGUUUUCAUAAAAUUCUCGUCAAAAGUAUCGUGAACUUUUCCUCGGUUAACCUAAAAAUUACAGUGAGUUCGUCGACCUUACAAAUUCGUGCUUCAGUGGAUCAGUCAGUUUGCAGAUUUUUGAUACGAGAAAUUUAAGCACUAAAACCUGGAUUAAGUGUCGAGUUGGUUUUGCAUGAUGUCUACUGCCAUAAUGCAUCAGUCUGCGCUGUACGACUUUGGUGAUCUGUUCUUGAAGGUGAGUCCAGAUUUUGAGUUGGAUGAAAACACUGUCAUUAACCAAUCUCGACCAGUGCAGACUAUGAACGGCACACUGAGCGCAGCCCUUGGGCCAGUUGGAGCCGGAGCGGUAUCUGGUGCCGUCAAUUGGGAACAGCACCCCGUGCUGGCCCGCGCCGCCUCCGUGCCAGCACAUCGCGCUCUUGCCGGCUUGCUCGACCGCCUGGGCCAUCGCCGGCUCGAACGCACCACAAGCGAACCUGCUCCUCCUCCGCCAGCCACCAGCAGAUACAAGACCGAACUCUGCAGACCCUUCGAGGAAGCUGGCGUGUGCAAAUACGGCGACAAAUGCCAAUUCGCCCAUGGAAUGCGUGAACUGCGCAACCUACAGCGUCAUCCUAAGUACAAGACGGAGCUAUGUCGCACUUUCCACUCAGUUGGGUUCUGUCCAUACGGGCCACGCUGCCACUUCGUGCACAAUGCGGAAGAGGCGCGGCGACGCGAACCAACCUCACCUGGUGGUUCCUUGGCGUCCCUGUCGUCUGGCGGCUCCAUGGCUUCGUACAUGAGCGACGGGUCGCGCUCGCCGCGCUCGCCGCACUCUCCGCUGGCCCCGCAGUCACCGCUGGCGCCGCAUUCGCCGCCUGCCAUGUCUCCUCCUGCGCACGCUACGGCGUUCGCUUUCCGUCGCACGCAGUCUCCCGACCCCGAAGAGGAGCGACUCCCCGUGUUCAAUCGUCUCUCGUCGGCGUUCGGGGAUCUCGUCAUCGCCUAGGGCCUUGCAACCGCCUAGUCCUAAGUUAACUUAUACCGAACAUAGCAUAAGGAUCGUCCGUCACCUUAGUGCCUACUCGACGUCUUCCAGCCAGCGCCCGAGCGGCGUCCGCUCGUCGCGCAUUGCGCACACGCACACCCGCUCAACAAAUGAUCUCCAGUUUGUCGAUGCUAUUUUGCUACUUCGCCUUGUAAUUUAUAAAGUUAACGAAACGAAGUGUUUUCUGGCGUCUCGAAAGUUUGCGGUGUGAAGUAUAGUGGUUUUGUACCUACAUUUUUAGUUAUCGGCACGCACUUGUAAAUGGCACCUUAUAAUAUUAGAUAUUUAUUGUGUAGCUCGCGGAAGUCUUCCCGAUGAUCCUCCGCCGAGCGGUGGUCUCUGUAAAGUUAGCUUAUAGAACAUUUUAUUUAUUUCGUACUGCCUAUCCGCGCUCGGUACUGUACCGCGAGAAGGCGCUCGUGAUCUAUUUUUAAGGGUUUAAGAUAAUAAUUUAUUAUUUAUUUUGAGUCUCUUUAACUGUAAUAAUUAUUUUAUUUUGUAGCUAGCAGCUGCGAUGCCGCACCGCAUACGGACGAGGCCCGCGUCGCCGGGACGUGGCUCGUUACCAUAUACUAACUCGACUGAUUCUGCACCAGCACACAAAGUUACUAUUUUAUUACCGUCACUGCUAUACAUGAUACGGACAGAAUCAGUCGAUCAACCACUCGGGAGCUCGAUGGGCCUGUGGGUCACUACUGCAGUUUCAUUAAUCUCGAAUAUUAUAGUCGACCUCGGCAGACAAAACCGAAAGUGCUCAAUUGUGGCUGCGUGCCGUACUAUAAUCUCCGGCUAGCCGACACCGCUAGCGAUCUUCUCCGGCCCAUCUGAGAACUAUCGGCACGAUCGCUCCGCGCUCGACUAGUCUGCCAAGAGUUUUUUUUCUUUUAGUCUCGUGCGAGGAGGACGAGAUGCGGCCCGAAACCGGUUCCAAGUUUUGGUGAUUAUUUUUGUAGUGGUCGCGCCGAGUCCCUCCCGGCGCUCGCGUCCGCCUCGCAAAAACCGCCAGGCCCGAGCCUCUGAGCACUAGCCCGCCGAACUCCCGAGCUCUCGUACCGAUAAACCUGUAUAAAGAUAUGACACAAUAAUAUAUGAAACAUGUUUAUACAAUUGUUGUCGGCGAGCGCUCCGCCUAAAGUGUGCCUUUUACUUUAUAAACGAGAUAAAUCGAUUUAUUUAAUUUUUAGUUGAUCGAGAUAGAAUAUUGUUUAUUUAUUGUCUCCUUUUGAAUAUAAUAUUCAAAUUGGCACAGUUAUUACUUUAGUCCUACUUUGACAGAGCUAAGUGAUUAGUUUCCAAGUAGAAUAGUUUUCUUUUGAAUUUAAAGUGUGAUAUUUUAUAAUAUUUAUAUAAAACAAAGUUUAAACUUUAAAUUAAGGGACCAAUGUAAGUGAUUAGGAGAAAUUCUGAUAGAACCAUCGUAUGCUAUCGAAUCUUACCAAGAGACUGUAUCCUCGCGCCACAUAUUGAUGAUAUUUUUGUUACAUGUCAGAUCUACGAGUUCUUUCUUAUAAUGUAAUACAAUAAAACGACAUUUGACCAAUACUGGUUUUGUGUUUAAUUAUUAUUCAGCUUUAUAGAACCGAGAUGGUAUUUUUUAUUUUGUUUACUAUUUUUAGUUUCAGUUUUUCUCCCUUUCUUAGCGAGUCGUUGCAUGGUGACCACAAGAUAAUAAUUUUGUACCUAAUGUUAAGGAAUUUUUAGUUUUUAAGCGUUCAUAAAGAUCACGAUUAUUAUUUAUUAUCAGUUCAUUACAAACUAUAAACCAUUAAAACUGAUUUAUUUAAUUUCUUUUGUAUUUAAACCGACAUUUAAGUUGUACGACUUCUUGUAACUUAAUGUUAGUAAUAUAUCAUGAGUCAUAUAAUAUAACAGGUUAGUUUAGUACCUACGACACUUGUAAUUAAGUAUUUAAUUUUUUAAUUUAAUUCCAACUGUAAGUUAAUCUUCCAAAAAUGACUACUACGUAUUCUAUUUUCUUAUGGACAAAAAAAUUAAGUAUAAAGCUUAAUUAUGACAUUUCUCCUGUAAGUUACUUUUUUUCAUCUGCAUUUUUAUUGAAUUAUAGUCAAAAUAAUGUUUAA
rnacentral:misc_RNA from 1 species